rnacentral:rRNA from 1 species
UGACCUCAAGUCAGGUAGGACUACCCGCUGAACUUAAGCAUAUCAAUAAGCGGAGGA